AAUGGGACAACUGGGUCAAAUGGUGGUUCCAUUCCAAGUUUUUGAGGAAUCUCCAUACUGCUUUCCAGGGUGGUUGCACCAAUUUGCAGUCCCACCAGAAAU
rnacentral:pre_miRNA from 1 species